rnacentral:rRNA from 1 species
UCAGUUCGGAUUGCAGGCUGCAACCCGCCUGCAUGAAGUCGGAAUUGCUAGUAAUCGCGGAUCAGCAUGCCGCGGUGAAUACGUUCCCGGGCCUUGUACACACCGCCCGUCACACCAUGAGAGCCGGGAACACCCGAAGUCCGUAGUCUAACCAUUAAGGAGGACGCGGCCGAAGGUGGGUUUGGUAAUUGGGGUGAAGUCGUAACAAGGUAAC